UACGUAGGGACCAAGCGUUGUCCGGAAUCAUUGGGCGUAAAGAGCGUGUAGGCGGCUUGUUAAGUCUUGCGUGAAAUCUCGGGGCUCAACCCCGAGCGGUCGUGAGAAACUGGCAGGCUAGAGUGCGGGAGAGGAGAGUGGAAUUCCUGGUGUAGCGGUGAAAUGCGCAGAUAUCAGGAAGAACACCCGUGGCGAAGGCGGCUCACUACACGAUAAUUGACGCUGAGGCACGAAAGCGUGGGGAGCAAACAGG
rnacentral:rRNA from 1 species